AAGCAAUCCAAACAGUCUUCGCCCGCAUUCGAAACACAAGAAAGUUGUGGGAAUAACUUUUUUCAUAAGAUAACCCAAGGAGGAAAAUGAAACUUUUGGAGGUUGUUUUAUUGGCUGUAGUAGCCGCAUUAUCCUUUGCUGGCGUAGCAGAUGCGGUAGGUCAUCAUAUUCACUCACCCCACGUCCGAACACCACCUCGUCCUACUAGGAGACAAGGAUCUUAAAUUGUGCUCUAAAUCCUGAGCACACUUGAUAAUAAAAACAUUUAUCUGAAAUUUAA